UACGGGGGGGGCAAGCGUUGUUCGGAAUUACUGGGCGUAAAGGGCUCGUAGGCGGCCAACUAAGUCGGAUGUGAAAUCCCCAGGCUUAACCUGGGAACUGCAUCCGAUACUGGAUGGCUUGAAUCCGGGAGAGGGAUGCAGAAUUCCAGGUGUAGCGGUGAAAUGCGUAGAUAUCUGGAGGAUACCGGUGGCGAAGGCGGCAUCCUGGACCGGCAUUGACGCUGAGGAGCGAAAGCUAGGGGGAGCAAACGGGG
rnacentral:rRNA from 1 species